GAUGAACGCUAGCGAUAGGCUUAACACAUGCAAGUCGAGGGGCAGCAUGGUCUUAGCUUGCUAAGACUGAUGGCGACCGGCGCACGGGUGCGUAACGCGUAUGCAACUUGCCUCACAGAGGGGGAUAACCCGUCGAAAGACGGACUAAUACCGCGUACACUUGGGAUAGGGCAUCCUGACCCAAGGAAAUGAAAUUCGCUGUGAGAUAGGCAUGCGUCCCAUUAGCUAGUUGGUGAGGUAACGGCUCACCAAGGCGACGAUGGGUAGGGGAACUGAGAGGUUGAACCCCCACACUGGUACGGAGACACGGACCAGACUCCUACGGGAGGCAGCAGUGAGGAAGAUUGGUCAAUGGGCGAGAGCCUGAACCAGCCAAGUCGCGUGAAGGAUGACUGUCUUAUGGAUUGUAAACUUCUUUUAUACGGGAAUAACAAGAGUCACGUGUGGCUCCCUGCAUGUACCGUAUGAAUAAGCAUCGGCUAACUCCGUG
rnacentral:rRNA from 1 species